AUGAAGAACGUAGCGAAAUGCGAUACUUGGUGUGAAUUGCAGAAUCCCGCGAAUCAUCGAGUCUUUGAACGCAAGUUGCGCCUGAAGCCAUUAGGCCGAGGGCACGUCUGCAUGGGCGUCACGC
rnacentral:rRNA from 9 species